AUACGUAGGUGGCAAGCGUUGUCCGGAAUUAUUGGGCGUAAAGCGCGCGCAGGUGGUUCCUUAAGUCUGAUGUGAAAGCCCCCGGCUCAACCGUGGAGGGUCAUUGGAAACUGGGGGACUUGAGUGCAGAAGAGGAAAGUGGAAUUCCAAGUGUAGCGGUGAAAUGCGUAGAGAUUUGGAGGAACACCAGUGGCGAAGGCGACUUUCUGGUCUGUAACUGACGCUGAGGCGCGAAAGCGUGGGGAGCAAACAGGAUUAGAUACCCUGGUAGUCCACGCCGUAAACGAUGAGUGCUAAGUGUUAGGGGGUUUCCGCCCCUUAGUGCUGCAGCUAACGCAUUAAGCACUCCGCCUGGGGAGUACGGUCGCAAGACUAAAACUCAAAUGAAUUGACGGGG
rnacentral:rRNA from 1 species